rnacentral:rRNA from 1 species
UAAUACGGAGGAGGCAAGCGUUAUCCGGAAUUAUUGGGCGUAAAGAGUCCGUAGGUGGGUAACCAAGUCAGUUGUUAAAUAGUGAAGCUUAACUUCAUAGAGGCGACUGAAACUGGUUGUCUAGAGUGUGGUAGGGGUAGAGGGAAUUUCCAGUGUAGCGGUGAAAUGCGUAGAUAUUGGAAAGAACACCGGUGGCGAAAGCGCUCUACUGGGCCUGCACUGACACUGAGGGACGAAAGCUAGGGGAGCGAAAGGGAUUAGAUACCCCUGUAGUCCUAGCCGUAAACGAUGGAUACUAGGCGUUGCCCGUAUCGACCCGGGCAGUGUCGUAGCCAACGCGUUAAGUAUCCCGCCUGGGGAGUACGCUCGCAAGAGUG